rnacentral:rRNA from 1 species
CUUGGAUAUCCGUGGUAAUUCUAGAGCUAAUACAUGCUUACAGCCCCGACUUCUGGAAGGGGCGAGUUUAUUAGAUAAAAAGCCGACGUUGUUGGUGAUUCAUGAUAACCUUUCGAAUCGCGAGUAAUCGCGAUGGUUCAUUCAAAUUUCUGCCCUAUCAAUUGAACCGUAGGGUAGUGGCCUACGGUGAUUUCUACGGGUAACGGGGAAUAAGGGUUCGAUUCCGGAGAGGGAGCCUGAGAAACGGCUACCACAUCCAAGGAAGGCAGCAGGCGCGCAAAUUACCCAAUCCCGACACGGGGAGGUAGUGACAAUAAAUAACGAUGCGGGGCACGUAUGUGUUUCGCAAUUGGAAUGAGUACAAUGUAAAUACCUUAACGAGGAACAAUUGGAGGGCAAGCCUGGUGCCAGCAGCCGCGGUAAUUCCAGCUCCAAAAGCGUAUAUUAAAGUUGUUGCAGUUAAAAAGCUCGUAGUUGAUUUUCGACGCAUCUGAGGGGUCCACUUCGGUGCGUACUCUGAGGGUGCGUUUUCUCUGGGGCGCCUUUUGGCAAGCCAGACUGUUACUUUGAAAAAAUUAGAGUGUUCAAAGCGGGCGAUAGCUUGAAUAUAUUAGCAUGGAAUAAUAGAAUAGGACGGAUGGAUCUAUUUUGUUGGUUUCUAGAACCAUCGUAAUGAUUAAUGGGCAUCGGCGGGGGCAUCGGUAUUCAAAUGUCAGAGGUGAAAUUCUUGGAUUAUUUGAAGACCAACUGCUGCGAAAGCGUUUGCCAAGGAGAUUGCCGUCAAUCAAGAACGAAAGUUAGGGGAUCGAAGAUGAUCAGAUACCGUCGUAGUCCUAACCGUAAACGAUGCCGACUAGGNNUCGGGUGGCGUUCAUUUCUGACUCACUCGGCACCUUAGGAGAAAUCAAAGUCUUUGGGUUCUGG